AAAUUCUCUUCAGAAGUUCUGUGCUCUAUCUAUUUCUUAGCUUUUUCUUAUCCGAUAUCAAAGCCUUACAAUGACAGAUGAUCAACUACUCUUCCAAACACAAAUCCAAAUCCACCUCUGAACACAAAUCUAAACACAAACCCAAAUCUAAAUCCACCUGAAAACUCUCCUAAUCCUACUCAGCUAGCUAGUCCAUAUACAUCGGGACAAAUGAUGGAACAGGGGCCAUGUUGGUGACUUAUAGCUUGGAAGCAAACAAUUACUAUUCAUGGACCAGAUCGAUGAGAAUGGCUCUUAGAAUCAAGAACAAACUGGGGUUCAUUGAUGGCACUCUUUGUAAACCUGCAGACCCGAAUGAUCCUUUAAUGAAACACUGGUUGAGAUGCAACGACAUAGCAAUCACUUGGAUGCAAAAUACCAUGGCUGUUGACUUCAAAUGUAGCACGGUGUAAGCAGAGAUUGCUCAUCAGCUAUUGCUGGAACUUAAGUAGAGGUUUGCUCAACAAAAUGCACCCGAAUCUAUGAAAUCAAGCAAGAUAUAACAACAUUAGUACAAAACCAAGAUACUGGAAGUGUUUAUUUUUCAAAAUUCAAAACUAUGUUGGAUGAACUACUGAAUUAUGAUUCCAUCUCUAAUUGUUCAUGUGGAGGUUUGAAAAUAGUAGUUCAAAACCAACAAUGUGAUUGGGUAAUAAGAUGGAUUAAAUGAAUCUUACAAAAUUAUUAAGGCUCAGAUUCUUUUGAUCGAAUCAGGUAUCCUUCAGGCAAUGAAUUAGAUGGGAAAGCCAGACCACCGUCAUCUGUUGCAAAUCAAGUUCUAUAAUCCUAGUUUCUGAUCAAGAGCAAGUGAGAGACAAAGCUCCGAUUUCAUUAAUUCAAGAACAAUAUGCCAUAGUUUUACCAUCCACCAACAGCUGUCACAACCCCCUUCGGCUAACAAUGUGUAAUCCUUUUUUACCAUCCUCUUCUAAUGUUGAAAUCACGAAGAUAUCUAGUAUAUCUCUAUGCCUCUUUGCUUAUGGAACCAAAUCUACUGAUCUUAAUGCCAUUUCUUGGAUCUUGGACACAGGUGCAACAAAUCAUAUGAUCUGUUCCACUUCAUUUUUUUACUUCAAUUAAUUCUCAAGUUUCAUAUUCUGUAGCUUUGCCUAAUGAAGAUGUUGCUCUUGAUGCUCAAGCUGAACCAUUAAAAUUACCAAGUCUCUUGUUCUCUAAAACAUUCUUUGUGUUCUUUCAUUUUCUUUUAAUCUCAUCUCAGCUAAAAAAAUUGCUCAAGAGUCCAACUGUUGUCUCAUGUUUUUCUUUGAUUUUUGCUUUAUCCAGGCCUUCCAACUUGGACAACAAUUGGCAUGGGUGAAGUAAAGCACGAUGUAUAUCAUUUGCUACAAAAGGAAAUCUCUUCUUCACCCUUAGCUGAAGUUUUAAAUCAGUUUACUCAUACUACACCUUUAUCUGCUUCUGUAACUUGCAGUGCUGAAAAUUUAGAUCUUUAGCAUUACAGGUUCGGACAUUCACCUUAUUUUGGAGCUACUUUCGGCAGUAACAUUCUCACAUCCAAGCAUUCUACCUACAAACCUUGUCUUGUAUACCCUUUGGCUAAGUUACACAAAUUAGCAUUUCCUUCAAGUGAACACAAAUCUAAAAGAUGUUUUGAAU
rnacentral:lncRNA from 1 species